AAUGAACGCUGGCGGCAGGCCUAACACAUGCAAGUCGAACGGGCACUUUCGGGUGCUAGUGGCGGACGGGUGAGUAACGCGUGGGAACAUACCCAAAGGUACGGAAUAGCCUCUGGAAACGGAGAGUAAUACCGUAUGUGCCCUUCGGGGGAAAGAUUUAUCGCCUUUGGAUUGGCCCGCGUUGGAUUAGGUAGUUGGUGGGGUAAUGGCCUACCAAGCCGACGAUCCAUAGCUGGUUUGAGAGGAUGAUCAGCCACACUGGGACUGACGACACGGCCCAGACACCUACGGGUGGCAG
rnacentral:rRNA from 1 species